rnacentral:rRNA from 1 species
GAUGAACGCUGGCGGCGUGCCUAAUACAUGCAAGUCGAACGGAAAGACGAGGAGCUUGCUCCGCUCUCGUUUGGCGCGGGGGUGCGUAUCACGUGUGGAACAUGCACCUGACAGGCUGAUAUCUCCUCGAAAAAGGGGUUAUCAUACCAGAUAAUAUUUUGAACCGCAUGGUUCAUUGGUGAAAGGCGGGUUUGCUGGCACGUAUAGAUGGUUCCGCGCCGCAGUAGCUAGUUGGUAAGGUACCGGCUUACCAAGGCAACGAUGCGUAGCCGAGCUGAGCGGGUGAUCGACCACACGGGAACUGAGACACGGACCAGACUCCUACGGGAGGCAGCAGUAGCGAAUCGUCCGCAAAGGGCGAAAUCCUGACAGAGCAACGGCGCGUGAGUGAUGAAGAUCUUCGGAUCGUAAAACUCUGUUUUUGGUUAAGAACAAAUGUGUAAGUAACGAUGCACGUCUUGACGGUACCUAAUCAAAAAGCCACGGCUAACUACGUG